ensembl:piRNA 21ur-2092 ncRNA
UUGUGUCCACGAACAGAAAAC